GACGAACGCUGGCGGCGUGCUUAACACAUGCAAGUCGAACGAGAGCGUAGAGAAAGCUUGCUUUUUCUACAAUCUAGUGGCAAACGGGUGAGUAACGCGUAAACAACCUUCUUUACGGAUGGGGACAACAGCUGGAAACGGCUGCUAAUACCCAAUACGUCCCGAAAGUCGCAUGACUAUUGGAAGAAAGUAUGGCCUCUAUGUAUAAGCUAUCGCCGUUGGAGGGGUUUGAGUCUGAUUAGCUAGGUGGAGGGGGAACGGCCCACCAAGGCGAAGAUCAGUAGCCGGUCUGAGGAGAUGAACGACCAAAAUGGGACUGAGACACGGUCCAGAAUUCUAAGGGGAGCAGCAGUGGGGAAUCUUCGGAAAUGGGCGACAAGCUGACUGAACAAAGACGGGGGAGUGGAGAAGGGCUUCGGGUUGUAAAGGUCCGUUAUUCGGGAAGAAAAAGCUUGUGGUUAAUACCCAUGAGAAGUGACGGUACCGUAAGAGAAAGCAACGGCUAACUACGUG
rnacentral:rRNA from 1 species